UAUUACAAACUGAAUCCAAGAAAACAUAGAUGAAAUCAUAAAAUCGCAGAUUACACCAUAAACCCUAAAUCACAACAUCAAGGCUUAGAUCUUUCAAUCGAAGGCUCAGACCACACCCAUUUACCAUCACAGAGGCACCGGGACUCAAAACGAACCCUCACAACCCAACACACCAAGGUCACUUCACUGGACUCAAGAAAUCAAACUGCCUACCUUCGGUCGAUCACUCACACAAAGGAGAAUCACACAAGAACACGAUUAUCACAAAGAUAAUCAACCAGAAACCUCACAAAGAGAAGAAGGAAGGGUCACACAGACAAAAGGAACUCGAAGGUUCCAAAUGGCAGAGAGUAAGAAGAAAAACAGAAAGUGACGAUCCAAGAGCCAAACAGGGAGUAAGGAGGAUAUUUAUAGUAAAUAUAAUCAACCGUUGAUCAGCGGGUCAAUCCAACGGUCCAAGAGCGACUAAUGGUGUGUGGGCUGGAUAUUGGGCUCGGUUAAGUGGGCCUUCUAGGUAUAUAUUUAAUGGACCAAGUAAUAAAUCCAAUUUGGGCCUUUUCAUCAUUGCCUAACAGUUGGACUGGAUCAAAUGGCAUCACAGCCCAACAGAUCUCCACCUUGAUGCCAGUGAUCAUACAAGAAGCCUAAUAAAUGUAAAACACAAUUUAAAUGUCCUUCUCUAGAAGACAGCUUCCCAGCAUUCUCAACAAGCAUCAACUUUAGCACCUGUGCAGAACAAAACACUUAACCAGCAUCAAUGUUCAAAAUUUGUAAACAAGACUUAAAUUUGUUUAAAGGAAUUACCUUAGUACCUACAUCAGCUGGAUUAUACUGAGUUGCACUUUUCUCAAGUAAUAUAAGUUCUUUAGAAACAACAUCUCUAAUAAAAUGCAACUUAACAUCAAUAUGUUUUGUUCUUUUAUGAAAAACAGGGUUUUUACAUAGGUGAAUUGCACUUUGACUAUCAGAAUACAAGACAACAGGGUUACUCAAUUCAUUAAUUUCAGAUAAUAAGCCCUUAAGCCAUAAUGCUUCUUUUAUUGUUUCAGUUGCAGCAACAUACUCAGCUUCAGUAGUAGAUAAAGCAACAAUAGGUUGAAGUUGAGAUUUCCAACUAAUGCAUGUAUUACACAAAGUAAACAUAUAAGAAGUAGUAGAUUUCCUAUUGUCUCUAUCUUCGGCAAAAUCUGAAUCUACAAAACCCUUAAGUACAACACCUUCAUUACAAGCACUAAAGAUCAAACCAACAUGUGAAGAUCCUUUCAAGUAUCUCAACAGCCAUUUUAGAGCACCCCAAUGGUCUGGUCCUGGAUUAGCCAUAAAUCUACUAAGUGAGCUAAUAGAAUGAGCUACAUCAGACCUAGUACAUACCAUAGUGUACAUGACAGAACCUACGGCAUUAGCAUAAGGUACAUUUUCCAUUUGCCUAAUGUCAGAUUCACUUACAGGACAUUGCUCUUUACUAAGCUUAAAAUGGCUGGCCAAUGGAAGUGAAACAGAUUUAGAAUUAUGCAUGGCAAACUUAGUCAACAUCUUUUCAAUAUAUGCAGUUUGCUUCAAGUACAGUAUCCUACUGUGCCUUUUCCUCGUGAUUUCCAUACCUAAGAUUAUCUUUGCAUGUCCUAGGUCUUUCAUUUCAAAUUCAGCACUUAAAGACCGUUUUAUCUGGUUAAUAGCAUGCAUAUUCUGACCAAUCAGCAACAUAUCAUCCACAUAAAGAAGUAUAAAUGCAACAAUAGCAUUUUCAUCAUUUCUUUUAAAGUAAAGACAAUGGUCAUAUUCACUUCUUAUGAAACCAAUAGUAGAUACAAAAUUAUCAAACCUUUUGUACCAUUGUCGUGGAGAUUGCUUUAAACCAUAUAAUGAUCUUUUUAAUAGACACACAUGAUCAGAUUUAGUUUUAUCAAUAAAACCAGGUGGCUGUCUCAUAUAAAUCACUUCAUCUAGGUCACCAUGCAAGAAAGCAGUUUUCACAUCCAUUUGUUCAAGUUCAAAAUCAUAAUGAGCAACAAGGACAAGCAUAACUCUAAUUGUUGUAUACUUUAUCACAGGUGAAAAUAUCUCAUUAUAAUCUAUGCCCUCUUUUUGCGUAAAUCCUUUUGCUACAAGUCUAGCCUUAAAUCUUAUGGGUAUCUUUUCAGUAUUUCCCUCCUUAACACUAAAGAUCCACUUGCAAUCAACAAGGGUCUUACCUGCAGGUUUUGGAACUAAAAUCCAAGUCUCAUUUUUCAUUAAGGAGUCCAUUUCAUCUAUCAUAGCAGCAUGCCAGUUCUCAGACUGCUUGCAGCUCAUUGCCUCUUCAUAAGAUUUUGGUUCUUUAAACACUAGGUCAUGAUAGGACAAGACAGCAAGUGAAAGGUAAUCUCCAUACCUAACAGGCUCUCUUACUUCCCUCCUAGUCCUAUCUCUAGUUAAUUGGUAAUCUCCCAAUUCAUCAGGCUGACUUUCCAGAUUUUCUUGAACAUUUUCCUCUUCAUUUUCUUGAGGAUCAGAAGCUAUUUCAGCUUCUUCAUCUACCUGUUCAUCACUAACAGGUUCAGUAGGUAAACCAAGCUCCACCUGAAGCUUGGUACCAUCACCUCUUUCAUCACCAGGUACCCAUUUUGGUUCUUUAUUAUCUAAACAAGGCAUCUUUGACUCAUCAAAGGUAACAUCUCUACUGGUGAUGAUUCUAAAACCUUUUACUUCUUUACUCCAUAGCUUAUAACUUUUAACCCCAUCAGGAUAUCCCAAGAAAACACAUUUCUGGGCUCUAGGUUCAAGUUUUCCUAUACUUUGAUGGGAAUAGGCAGCACAACCAAAGAUUCUUAAAUGUGAAUAGUUAGGAACAUGUCCUGUCCAUAACUCUUCAGGGGUUUUAUCUCCUAGAGCACUUGAGGGGGUCCUAUUAACAAUAUAUGAGGCUGUCAUUACAGCUUCACCCCAUAACACCUUAGGGACACCUGAGCCUAUCAACAUGCACCUAACCUUAUCUAGCAAGGUUCUAUUCAUCCUCUCAGCCACUCCAUUCUGCUGAGGAGUAUAAGGUACAGUUUUAUGCCUUUUAAUACCAGAUUCUUUGUACAACUGAUCAAAUUCAGCAUUGCAAAACUCAAGGCCAUUAUCAGUCCUAAGGGUCUUAAUUUUCUUCCCAAUCUCAUUUUCCACCAGAAUCUUCCAAGUUCUGAAUUUAUCAAAUGUUUCAGAUUUGUGUUUCAACAAAUAAACCCAAACCUUCCUUGAAUAGUCAUCUAUCAAGGACAAGAAAUAUCUAUUUCCUCCUUGAGUAACAGUGGAUGAAGGCCCCCAUAAAUCAGCAUGUAUAUACUCAAGGAUAGAGGUGGUUCUAUGUUUUCCUGUGUUAAAAUGCAUCCUAUGCUGUUUUCCUAAGGUGCAAUUUUCACAAAAAGACACCUUAGAUAUAGAGUCCUUCUCACACACACCUUUCUUAUAAAGGAUGUGAAGGCCCUUUUCACCUACAUGGGCCAAUCUCUUGUGCCACUUUAAGGUAGCAUCAACUUCUACACUAGAAGACUCACCUAUGUGAUCAAAUACUGUACUAGCUUUGAUCACAUAAAUUCCAUUUCUUUUAACACCUUUAAAAAUAACAAGUGAUCCUUUUAUCACUUUCAAGAAGCCAUCUCCUAUUUUUCCUUGCAAUCCCAUAUCAUCUAGAUUCCCCAUGGAAAUCAGAUUCCUAUUCAAUUCAGGAACAUAUCUCACCCUUUCAAGAGUGCAAAUGUAUCCAUUAUCGAAUUUCAAAGUGACAUUCCCAACUCCCUCAACUCUGCAGGCUACAUUAUUGCCCAUAACUACUUCUCCUCCAUCAAUUUUCUUAAAAUUGUCUAAAUAUACCCUUUUAUAGGUCAUAUGAAAAGUGCAACCAGAAUCCAAGAUCCACUCUUGGUUCUGAUUCUCAUCAACAACAUUUGCAGAGCUAGGUAGAUUUUCAGUCACAGCAUAUACAUCAACUGUGGCAGAACCUUCAGAUUCUACCACAUUUCCUUCAUCAACACCCUUUUGUUUCUGUUCAUUUUUCUUCUUAUAACAGUCUUUAAUAAAAUGUCCAGAUUUCCCACACCCAUAACACUUCUUAGUCCUAGUCCUUGACUUAGACCUGCCUCUACUUUUAAAUUUUCUUCUACUGUUAUUUCCCUGAUUAUUAUGGCUUUCCUGAGUACCACUAGACCUACUUAAAGUCCUCCCCCUAGCAAACAAGUUCUCAUGGCCACUAUUACCUCUCUCAGACUUAAGUUCAAGUUCCUUACUCCUUAAAGAGUCUAUAACAAUAUCAGGUGUAAGAGUAUCUCUACCAUACUUAAUGGCGGCUUUAACCUCUUUGUAGGCUUCAGGUAUUGCAUUAAGUAGUACUACAGCCUUAUACUCAUCAGAAACUUUCUCACCUGUAUUAAUAAUGUCUUGAACUAACUUAUUAAAAAUAUCUAAGCUAUUCUCUAAGUCUCUAGUUGGAUCUAUCCUAAAGCUAAAAAAUUUCUCUAAUAGAAACAACUUAUUAGGUAAAGACUUAGGUAGGUAAAGUUUUUCUAAUUCAUCCCAUAAAGCCUUAGCAGUAUCAUGUUUGUCUACUUUUCUUAAAACUUGAUCAGAUAAAUGCAAAAUAAUGGAGGUAUAAACAAGUUCAUCAGAUUCUUCCUUUUGAUCAUCUGUCAUGGUAUCAGGAAAUUCAUCUGUUAUUGCUUUAGAAACCUUUUGCUGAACUAAAACACCUCUCAUUUUUUGUUGCCAAAUGGGAAAAUCCCCUUUUCCAUCAAAAACACCAAGUUCAAAAGAUUUUCUCAUGUUUUAUUUGUGAAGAACUAACACACAGUAAUUUUUUCACAAAUUAUAACAAAACAGAGAAUCAACUUUUGAAAACUGUUGAAAUUGACCUUCACAAAAAUUUAUGUUUUAGAUCACAUAAAGUAAUAUGCAGUCAAAGAAAAUGAGCCACAAUUAUUUUUAUUCACAAACAGUUUCAAUCAAUAGCAGGAACAUUAGGUAUUCUAAUAUAAACACCACAAGAAUCAGGAAAUACAACAAUGCAGGUAAAACAAUAUCUCAGAAUUAAAGAAUCAGUAUAUGCAGGACCUAGGGCUGAUCAAAUUCACCAGGAUUCCGUGAGAAUCAAGUUCUCAGGUCAAGGCUCAAUUUGAAUCACCCAAACUUAAUUGAUCACAAGCAACUAUUACAAGAUAUCGCAAACUAAUGUAACAGGUUACAAUGUACAGUAACUAAACAUAUCAACAUAGAGGCAUAUAUACAUAAGGGCAGUGUUUAGUGAGUGUGAGAUCAUAGGGGGUUCAAGAAAUGCAAACCGAGGAUGGUUAAACAAUUUAACCACCAGCUGAAAUCCAGAAGAAAUUAUUGCAGCAUGGAUAAAUUCACUGCAGGUCACCAAGGCACAAAACGUGCCCCUACAGAUUCAGUCUCCUCCAGUUUCAAGGCCUGGCAGCUCCAAUCAGUUAGGGUUCAAGCACAAAACAAGCCCACAGGAUCUCAGUAUUGUGAUUCAUUUUCAAAUCACAUCGAGGAAUCACAGAAACUCCCUCGCAUUCCACAGUCCAGAGUCGAAUCAACACCACAAACCACUAUGUCGACACAAAAUCAAAACUAGGGUUUCGCGAUCUCCGGUCGAACUCCUGAAAAUUAAUUUUCCAGUGUUCAACCUUCAAUCGAAGACUCACGACCGAAAGCCUAUAGCUCUGAUACCACUAUUACAAACUGAAUCCAAGAAAACAUAGAUGAAAUCAUAAAAUCGCAGAUUACACCAUAAACCCUAAAUCACAACAUCAAGGCUUAGAUCUUUCAAUCGAAGGCUCAGACCACACCCAUUUACCAUCACAGAGGCACCGGGACUCAAAACGAACCCUCACAACCCAACACACCAAGGUCACUUCACUGGACUCAAGAAAUCAAACUGCCUACCUUCGGUCGAUCACUCACACAAAGGAGAAUCACACAAGAACACGAUUAUCACAAGAUAAUCAACCAGAAACCUCACAAAGAGAAGAAGGAAGGGUCACACAGACAAAAGGAACUCGAAGGUUCCAAACGGC
rnacentral:lncRNA from 1 species